rnacentral:rRNA from 1 species
GUGCUUAACACAUGCAAGUCGAGUGCGCAGUCUGUUGUAGCAAUACAGCAGGCCGGCGCACGGCGCACGGGUGCGUAACACGUGGGUAACCUGCCCUCCAAAGGGGGAUAACCCGCCGAAAGGCGGGCUAAUACCGCAUGACAUUCCGGUGGCUUCGGCCGCCGGAUUCAAAGCUCGUAAGGGCGUUGGAGGAGGGGCCCGCGGCCGAUUAGCUUGUUGGCGAGGUAACGGCUCACCAAGGCUUUGAUCGGUAGCCGGUCUGAGAGGAUGGCCGGCCACACUGGAACUGAGACACGGUCCAG